rnacentral:lncRNA from 10 species
AAGCACUCAAUGCAGACUUGAUUUUAUAUAUUUUGCUUUCAGGUGGCCUGAAACACUUCUUUACAUUUGGAGAACUAGAAUCGGAGGAAAUUGCCGUUAAGCAAAUUCCUGAAGGCCACAUAGCCAAGAAAGUUGCAGGCAAUGAAACCCCUGCUGCUAAAGGGUCAUCUACCAUAGAAGAGUAACAACUGGGCCAGUAGAGAGAAAAGCGCACUUUGAAGCAAGCAGAGAGGACAGAAGACAUGUAACUGCUGGCCCUUCAGCCUGUGCCCUAGAAUGA